rnacentral:rRNA from 1 species
UCAAGCUAAUAAGAGCACAGGGUGGAUGCCCAGGCACCAAACGCCGACGAAAGACGUGGCAAGCUGCGAAAAGUCACGGGGAACCGCAAGCAGGUAUUGAUCCGUGAACGUCUGAAUGGGGAAACCCGGCGGGUUAACAGCCCGUCACUAUUAACUGAAUCAAUAGGUUAAUAGAGGGAACGCGGGGAACUGAAACAUCUCAGUACCCGUAGGAAGAGAAAAUAAAGAAUGAUUUCCUAAGUAGCGGCGAGCGAACGGGAAAGAGGCCAAACCGAAGGGCUUGCUCUUCGGGGUUGUGGAUCAGCGAUAAGUACGCAAGACCUUAGCAGAAGAGGAUUGGAAAGUCCCGCCAGAGAGGGUAAAAGCCCCUUACGCGAAAAGGUCAAACGACGAGCUGACACCAGAGUACCGCAGGACACGAGAAAUCCGGUGGGAAGCCGGGAGGACCACCUCCCAAGCCUAAAUACGAAUUGGUGACCGAUAGCGCAUAGUACCGUGAGGGAAAGGUGAAAAGAACCCCGGGAGGGGAGUGAAAAAGAACCUGAAACCCUGUGUUUACAAGCAGUGAAAGUGCAAGAAAGGCACGAUCACGUACUUUUUGUAGAACGGACCGGCGAGUUACGUUAUGCAGCAAGGUUAAGAACUAAAGGUUCGGAGCCGAAGCGAAAGCGAGUCUGAACAGGGCGAUAGUUGCAUGACGUAGACCCGAAACCGGGUGACCUAUCCAUGAGCAGGUUGAAGUGGAGGUAAAGCUCCAUGGAGGACCGAACCAGACGUCUGUUGAAAAAGGCGGGGAUGACUUGUGGAUAGGGGAGAAAUUCCAAUCGAACCCGGAGAUAGCUGGUUCUCCUCGAAAUAGCUUUAGGGCUAGCCUCAUGGAUCAUUGGUGGGGGUAGAGCACUGAAUGUGCGCGGGGGCCACAAAGCCUACCAAACGCUAUCAAACUUCGAAUACCAUACAAUGCAGACCAUGGGAGUCAGUCCGCGAGAGAUAAGUUCCGCGGGCAAAAGGGGAACACCCCAGAUCAACCGCUAAGGUCCCUAAGUUCACGUUAAGUGGAGAAGGAUGUGGAAUUGCACAGACAACCAGGAUGUUGGCUCAGAAGCAGCCACACAUUUAAAGAGUGCGUAAUAGCUCACUGGUCGAGUGAUUGUGCGCCGAAGAUGUCCGGGGCUAAACGUGACACCGAAGCGAUGGGUGCAUCUGAAGAAGAUGCGCGGUAGAGGAGCAAUGUGCAGAGGCAGAAGCCGUAUCGAGAGGCACGGUGGACACUGCACAAGAGAGAAUGCCGGUAUGAGUAGCGAGAGGCAUGCGAGAAACAUGCCCGUCGAAAGCCCAAGGUUUCCUGGGGAAGGUUCAUCCGCCCAGGGUAAGUCGGGGCCUAAGCCGAGGACGGAAGUCGUAGGCGAUGGACAGCAGGUGUAGAUUCCUGCACUACCGAUGGAAUGAAGCAGUGACACAGAAGGAUAACUCGAGCAGGGUGAUGGUCAACCCUGUGCAAGCAUCAAGGUUGGGUUGUAGUGAAGUACGCAACCCUACAAGCUGAGGUGUGAUGCGGACCGAAAUUUUAGUAGGGAAGCGAGUGAGUUCACGCUGGCGAGAAAAGCUGCUAGUACAUCCAAAGGUACCCGUACCGGAAACCGACGCAGGUGGGCGAGGAGAGAAUCCUGAGACGAACGGGAGAACCCUUGUUAAGGAACUCGGCAAAAUGACCCCGUAACUUCGGGAUAAGGGGUGCCUGCGAGAGCAGGCCGCAGAGAAUAGUCACAAGCGACUGUUUAGCAAAAACACAGGUAUCUGCGAAAGCGAGAGCUGACGUAUAGGUGCUGACACCUGCCCGGUGCUGGAAGGUUAAGGGAACAUGUUAGAGCAAUCGAAGCAUCGAACCGAAGCCCCAGUAAACGGCGGCCGUAACUAUAACGGUCCUAAGGUAGCGAAAUUCCUUGUCGGGUAAGUUCCGACCCG